GUCUGAGUGCUUUGCCCUCCGUGGUAAUCUUUUGGCCAGCUCUGAAACCUGAUUUUUUCUGUGAUCUCUGGCUGAUCGGACCUCGAACCAGACCUCUGUUGUUUUUUGCAGCUCCCUCCUGGACUAGAACUGAACCUGGCAGACUGAGGUCCUUUCCUGACUCUGUGCCUCUCCCUGGCGGAUUCUACGUUCCCACCCCCACCAUUCCAGGUCCAAGACGGAAACCCAGAGUCUGAGUUCGCCCUGGCAUCUCUUGCAGUGGACUGUGCCAUAAGAACCUUGAUGCCCAUCUUGAUCCGAUGUCUAAAUCACCUCAAUGGCUGCAGGGAACAACUGCUUAAUUAAAACAGCAAGACAUCUGACCCGGUUACAAAUGGGUGCUGGUCAUUUCACACUUGCACUGGUGUGCCAUUGUACCUUUGUAUAUUUGUUUGUUCUUUACCCAACUUUUUCAGGUGUGAAAUGGAGCUGUCUGCCACAAGAAGUUUCUAUCUAACUUUGCAUCCAUUUAUGCCUGUCAGGGGGAUGUUUUGUACCCACUUUGACAUCAUAGGCGCUGGAGCUGCAGACCGGAGUGUUGACAGGUGUACGUCGUUGCUUCAUCAGCUGGAGGACUAUAUGAGGGUGGUUCGCUGGCUUUUCUACGCCUGAGUGUUUUUCCUACCGCUGUUCACGCCAAGCUGGGGGUUCCACCUGAACCCACCUCCUGUCAAGACUGGAAUCUGCUGCUGCCCUUGCGAGUCCUCCAGCUGGAAGCGCAACCUGUCCACCACUUUGUUACCUGGAACAUCAGAUCGCUCCAAUCGUUUCCGUGCAGGCACUACCACAGACUUGAACCGGCUUCUCCCCCUGGCGGAUCGAUCGCCUUCCGGAAAUCUGUCUCCUGAUCGCUCUGCCCACCUCGUUCCUGAGUCGAAAAGAAAUAAAAGAAAAACUUAAUUUAC